rnacentral:rRNA from 1 species
GGCCCAGACUCCUACGGGAGGCAGCAGUGAGGAAUAUUGGUCGAUGGGCGAGAGCCUGAACCAGCCAAGUAGCGUGCAGGAUGACGGCCCUAUGGGUUGUAAACUGCUUUUAUAAGGGAAUAAAGUGAGUCUCGUGAGACUUUUUGCAUGUACCUUAUGAAUAAGGACCGGCUAAUUCCGUGCCAGCAGCCGCGGUAAUACGGAAGGUCCGGGCGUUAUCCGGAUUUAUUGGGUUUAAAGGGAGCGUAGGCCGGAGAUUAAGCGUGUUGUGAAAUGUAGACGCUCAACGUCUGCACUGCAGCGCGAACUGGUUUCCUUGAGUACGCACAAAGUGGGCGGAAUUCGUGGUGUAGCGGUGAAAUGCUUAGAUAUCACGAAGAACUCCGAUUGCGAAGGCAGCUCACUGGAGCGCAACUGACGCUGAAGCUCGAAAGUGCGGGUAUCGAACAGGAUUAGAUACCCUGGUAGUCCGCACGGUAAACGAUGGAUGCCCGCUGUUGGUCUGAAUAGGUCAGCGGCCAAGCGAAAGCAUUAAGCAUCCCACCUGGGGAGUACGCCGGCAACGGUGAAACUCAAAGGAAUUGACGGGGGGCCCGCACAAGCGGAGGAACAUGUGGUUUAAUUCGAUGAUACGCGAGGAACCUUACCCGGGCUUGAAUUGCAGAGGAAGGAUUUGGAGACAAUGACGCCCUUCGGGGCCUCUGUGAAGGGUGCUGCAUGGUUGUCGUCAGCUCGUGCCGUGAGGUGGUCGGCUUAAGUGCCAUAACGAGCGCAACCCCUCUCCUUAGUUGCCAUCAGUUGAAGCUGGGCACUCUGGGGACACUGCCACCGUAAGGUGUGAGGAAGGUGGGGAUGACGUCAAAUCAGCACGGCCCUUACGUCCGGGGCUACACACGUGUUACAAUGGCAGGUACAGAGAGACGGUCCCUUGCAAAACGGAUCAAAUCCUUAAAGCCUGUCUCGGUUCGGACUGGGGUCUGCAACCCGACCCCACGAAGCUGGAUUCGCUAGUAAUCGCGCAUCAGCCAUGGCGCGGUGAAUACGUUCCCGGGCCUUGUACACACCGCCCGUCAAGCCAUGAAAGCCGGGGGCGCCUAAAGUCCGUGACCGUAAGGAGCGGCCUAGGGCGAAACUGGUAAUUGGGGCUAAGUCGUAACAAGGUAGCCG